CCCUUAGAUGUUCUGGGCCGCACACGCGCUACACUGGCAGGUUCAUCGAGCUUCGUGCCCUGAUCUGAGAAGAACGGGAAAUCUUUGAACACCUGCCGUGCUUGGGAUAGAUGUUUGCAACUAUUCAUCUUCAACGAGGAUUGCCUUGUAAGCGCACGUCAUCAGCGUGCAUUGAAUACGACCCUGUAUUCUGUACACACCGCCCGUCGCUCCUACCGAUUGAAGUUUUCGGUGAAUUUACUGGAGAUCCCUUUUGAAGGUGGUUCGCCACUGGAAGAAGUAUUCAAAAGUAAAUGAAUCGAAUGCUUUAGAGGAAGGAGAAGUCGUAACA
rnacentral:rRNA from 1 species